GGAGCCUACCAGGGGGAUACGGGGUAAUAUACCCUGAGGAAACUCCGGCCUCCAGAUCCCCAGGGAAGUCGUAUAAGACAAGGGUAGAACCCUUGGCUACGGAACAGAAACGAGACCGGUAUAAUGGAAGAUGAAAAUGAGAUAACCCCUAGCUUAGGUGACUAAGCUAGGGGAUCGAGAUCCAUUAUACCGGUUGAAACGGCCGACCUUCUCGGAGCAAGUAGAGAAGGAGAUGAAUAGGGGAUCUGAUCCUUCUCUUGACGCUAAGUCGAAUUCCCCCUAAAUACAGAAGCCGGGUUAUUGGUAGGCUCC
rnacentral:RNase_P_RNA from 1 species